rnacentral:lncRNA from 1 species
AUGCCUAGGACGGUGUCUGGGGAUUCUGGAAACUCAGCUUUCCAAAGUAUCCUUCCUGAUCCGAUGCCACAAUUCUCUGGGGCCAAAAUGCAAAAUGAAGUCACCACGAAGCUGCCGUUGACUCACCACGGGACCCUGGUUUCCAGAAACAGCUUCUUCAAAGGGGUCUGCAGCGGCGGUGGGGAGGCCUGCUCAGAGUCUCUGGGAUUGUUGGAAGGUGGAAGGAGGAGAGGAAGGUGGGGAGGACGCCUGGAGCCCUGCCACCCGAGUGAGGCCGGUGACAGGAAGAAUCUAUCAAUCUUGUGUGCAGAGCCAAAUAUGGUGCUGGGGCUCAAUAGGUAAUAAACAAUGGUCACAUUGCAGGCUCCACAAGGAGAGACAUUACAGACGAGAGCCAGGGGCAGCCUGACGUCACUGUGUGCGGCCGAGCCGGCUGGCUCACCCUGGGCUGCAGAAAUUCCAUAUUUGUCCCUUUUGAGC